CUGCUAACUUCCCUCUGGGAUUUAUUUGUGUUUGUUGCCAGGGUUUAUAUCCUGAUGGGUGCCAGAUGACAGACUCCUCCACAUUUCAGUAGGACUGACAGGAACCACAUGAUGGAUAUCUCAGGAGGUGGAGAUUGCAAAAGUUCUUUAUCAAUAAGUUGCCAGCCAUCAUCUCAAGAGUCUAGAUUUGCUACUUGAAAUAUGCAGCAUAUGAAAUGUGAAAACGACGUGUCAUAUUGCAUCCUAAUUAGAAAUGGUGAGAAGAGGAAUUACUCUGAAGAGGUUCUAGCUUUAAGUGGAGGCCAACAGCAGCCUAAAGUCUGCCAGCUCACCUGGGAGGAUGCCUGUCAGGCAGCAUACACAAGAAGCUGACCUUGCCUGGGUUAGCGCUGCCCUGGCACAGAGCAGUUAAAAGAAAAAGGUACUGCUGAUGUCCAGCAUCCACACCAUAGAGGACAAAGGACUACAGAGCUGUUGAUCCAGCGCUGCUGAGGGAAUAAACUCCACAAAACACCUGAGGGCCCAAGAGGGCUUCUGGCUGCAGCGAGUAAUACAGCAUCAGCCUCUGUUAUCUGUGUCUGACUACCUGGGCAAGGUAGGCUCAGCAAGGCAAAACC
ensembl:lncRNA